AGUGAACGCUGGCGGUAGGCCUAACACAUGCAAGUCGAACGGCAGCACAGUAAGCGCUUGCUCUUACGGGUGGCGAGUGGCGGACGGGUGAGGAAUACAUCGGAAUCUACUUUUUCGUGGGGGAUAACGUAGGGAAACUUACGCUAAUACCGCAUACGACCUACGGGUGAAAUCAGGGGAUCUUCGGACCUUGCGCGAUUGAAUGAGCCGAUGUCGGAUUAGCUAGUUGGCGGGGUAAAGGCCCACCAAGGCGACGAUCCGUAGCUGGUCUGAGAGGAUGAUCAGCCACACUGGAACUGAGACACGGUCCAGACUCCUACGGGAGGCAGCAGUGGGGAAUAUUGGACAAUGGGCGAAAGCCUGAUCCAGCCAUACCGCGUGGGUGAAGAAGGCCUUCGGGUUGUAAAGCCCUUUUGUUGGGAAAGAAAAGAAGCAGGUGAAUACCCCGAUGUUCUGACGGUACCCAAAGAAUAAGCACCGGCUAACUUCGUG
rnacentral:rRNA from 1 species